rnacentral:sRNA from 1 species
GCCAGGAGCAGUGGCGCACUCCUGUAAUCCCACCAGCUUGGGAGGCUGAGACAGGCGACUUGCAAGUUCAAAGCCAGCCUCAGCAAUGGUGAGGCCCUAAGCAACUCAGUGAGACCCUGUCUCUA